AAAAUAGUUUGGACACCUCAACUGAACAUUUGUGGCAUAUUUAGCUCAAAUAGUUUUUAUUUUCUUUUUUUCCGUUCAUCUGGAAUAGUACUACAGCAGGUUGCUGAUGGCGUGGUCGUGUGUGUGGGCAGUGACGGUCCUCCUGGGAGCGUGCUCUGUGUGGCCGCUGGCUGACGGCUGGAGGACCAGAGGCCUGGACACAGCCAACACCACCACGACACACACACCUGCGGAGCCCCACACCAGGGAGAAGGCGUCCGCAGAAAGGAGCGGACCGCACGGUG